AAAUUGAAGAGUUUGAUCAUGGCUCAGAUUGAACGCUGGCGGCAGGCCUAACACAUGCAAGUCGAGCGGUAGCACAGAGAGCUUGCUCUCGGGUGACGAGCGGCGGACGGGUGAGUAAUGUCUGGGAAACUGCCUGAUGGAGGGGGAUAACUACUGGAAACGGUAGCUAAUACCGCAUAAUGUCGCAAGACCAAAGUGGGGGACCUUCGGGCCUCAUGCCAUCAGAUGUGCCCAGAUGGGAUUAGCUAGUAGGUGGGGUAACGGCUCACCUAGGCGACGAUCCCUAGCUGGUCUGAGAGGAUGACCAGCCACACUGGAACUGAGACACGGUCCAGACUCCUACGGGAGGCAGCAGUGGGGAAUAUUGCACAAUGGGCGCAAGCCUGAUGCAGCCAUGCCGCGUGUGUGAAGAAGGCCUUCGGGUUGUAAAGCACUUUCAGCGGGGAGGAAGGCGGUGAGGUUAAUAACCUCAUCGAUUGACGUUACCCGCAGAAGAAGCACCGGCUAACUCCGUGCCAGCAGCCGCGGUAAUACGGAGGGUGCAAGCGUUAAUCGGAAUUACUGGGCGUAAAGCGCACGCAGGCGGUCUGUCAAGUCGGAUGUGAAAUCCCCGGGCUUAACCUGGGAACUGCAUUCGAAACUGGCAGGCUAGAGUCUUGUAGAGGGGGGGGAAUUCCGGGUGUAGCGGUGAAAUGCGUAGAGAUCUGGAGGAAUACCGGUGGCGAAGGCGGCCCCCUGGACAAAGACUGACGCUCAGGUGCGAAAGCGUGGGGAGCAAACAGGAUUAGAUACCCUGGUAGUCCACGCCGUAAACGAUGUCGAUUUGGAGGUUGUGCCCUUGAGGCGUGGCUUCCGGAGCUAACGCGUUAAAUCGACCGCCUGGGGAGUACGGCCGCAAGGUUAAAACUCAAAUGAAUUGACGGGGGCCCGCACAAGCGGUGGAGCAUGUGGUUUAAUUCGAUGCAACGCGAAGAACCUUACCUGGUCUUGACAUCCACAGAACUUUCCAGAGAUGGAUUGGUGCCUUCGGGAACUGUGAGACAGGUGCUGCAUGGCUGUCGUCAGCUCGUGUUGUGAAAUGUUGGGUUAAGUCCCGCAACGAGCGCAACCCUUAUCCUUUGUUGCCAGCGGUUAGGCCGGGAACUCAAAGGAGACUGCCAGUGAUAAACUGGAGGAAGGUGGGGAUGACGUCAAGUCAUCAUGGCCCUUACGACCAGGGCUACACACGUGCUACAAUGGCAUAUACAAAGAGAAGCGACCUCGCGAGAGCAAGCGGACCUCAUAAAGUAUGUCGUAGUCCGGAUUGGAGUCUGCAACUCGACUCCAUGAAGUCGGAAUCGCUAGUAAUCGUAGAUCAGAAUGCUACGGUGAAUACGUUCCCGGGCCUUGUACACACCGCCCGUCACACCAUGGGAGUGGGUUGCAAAAGAAGUAGGUAGCUUAACCUUCGGGAGGGCGCUUACCACUUUGUGAUUCAUGACUGGGGUGAAGUCGUAACAAGGUAACCGUAGGGGAACCUGCGGUUGGAUCACCUCCUUACCUUAAAGAA
rnacentral:rRNA from 1 species